GCAUAUCAAUAAGCGGAGGAAAAGAAACUAACAAGGAUUCCCCUAGUAACGGCGAGUGAAGCGGGAAGAGCUCAAAUUUGAAAUCUGGUGGCCUUAGGUCAUCCGAGUUGUAAUCUAUAGAAGUGUUUUCCGUGCUGGCUCAUGUACAAGUCCCUUGGAACAGGGCGUCAUAGGGGGUGAGAAUCCCGUCCUUGACAUGAACUACCAGUGCUCUGUGAUACAUUUUCAACGAGUCGAGUUGUUUGGGAAUGCAGCUCAAAAUGGGUGGUAAAUUCCAUCUAAAGCUAAAUAUUGGCGAGAGACCGAUAGCGAACAAGUACCGUGAGGGAAAGAUGAAAAGCACUUUGGAAAGAGAGUUAAACAGUAUGUGAAAUUGUUGAAAGGGAAACGAUUGAAGUCAGUCGUGCUCUUUGGAUUCAGCCGGUUCUGCCGGUGUACUUCCUUUGAGUGGGGUCAACAUCAGUUUUGAUCGCUGGAUAAAGGCGGGAGGAAUGUAGUACCCUCGGGUAAACUUAUAGCCUCUUGUCACAUACAGUGGUUGGGACUGAGGAACGCAGUAUGCCUUUAAGGCCGGGAUUCGUCCACGUACAUGCUUAGGAUGUUGACAUAAUGGCUUUAAACGACCCGUCUUGAAACACGGACC
rnacentral:rRNA from 1 species